rnacentral:snRNA from 1 species
UUUCUUACCUAGCAGGGGAAAUACCAUGAUCAUGUAGGUGGUUUUCCCAGGGCGAGGCUCACCUAUUGCACUCUGUCAAGAACAUAAGUUUGGAAGAGACGAGUUAGGAUUGCAAGGGA